GGUCGCACAAAAAAUUCUUUUGUGCGGGAUAAAUAAGGCGCCAGCCUUCGAAGUUGGAGGUCCCAGGUUCGAAUCCUGGCGUGCCCGCCA
rnacentral:tRNA from 1 species